AUUCCCUGACCUUUCACUAGACCAAAUUGAGCAGAGCUCCAUCCAACCUGGCACUGAACACUUCCAAAAGUGGGCUGCUUUAGCUCCCUAAUCUAGGCCAAAACCAACAAGACAAAAAAACAUGAGCUGAGUUAAAGCAGCUCAAUAAAGUGUCCUAUGAGCCAGAUUCCCAUGUGGAGCUCUGGUAAAGAAGCACGUGGCAAAAACGGGAGCAAAGACCUCCACUCGCUGGUGGCUGUAACAGCUGCUCAAAUGCUUGUGAAACUGCUGCCCUCCACAUCACACAUACUUCAUGGAAGUUUUCUGUGACAUAGGUUCCGUUCAGAGAAAGAAACCUCACCACGAAACAACACCAAAACUGGGGGAAAAGGUCACCCAGCACGACUUUGCAUCAGUACAUUUUACUUGUAGGCAGCACGUUUCGAUGUAGUAUUGCGCCCUACACCUGGUGCAUUUCGCAGAGAAGGAGCCAUCCGAUCACUGUUGAUAUAGGACAGAAAGAAUGCUAGGUUAUCCACGGAGAAACCCAACUAAUUAAGAGACAAGAGCCAGGUCUAUGAGUCAGGGAAGAAAGAUCUUUGCAGAUAAAGGUAGGGAAUGGAAUAGGGAAAAUAUCAUAGUGAGGCUUUUUAUUUCCCCCCAGACUGAGUAACUGAAGCACAUGUCUGUUUAGCCUGUAGGAUAUGAAGGUGCCUGUGGAGACAUUCCUUUGGGGACCCUGUAUUCUGCUCUGCAGGUGGUUUCUGUGUGUCUGUGCAUUUGCCACAUUGAAAUCAGUCACAGACCCAAAAAGGGUAGGCUCUUUUCUGGUUUGCGUUUUGUAAUUCUUGACCUUUCUGAUAUUUCAUGAGGAGUUCAGCAGCACAGAGAAUUUCUUGUGUAAAGGCUUUUGUUGGCUUGUUAUUAUUUUAUGCUAUUCAAAAUAUUAAUUAUUGUGAUGAUUUGUGGUCUGGAACCUGUUGUAACAGAAACCUUGGAUUAUUCUUACUGAAAAGUGUGUACUUUUCCCCAGAAUAUUUGACUUAGAAUUAUUAAGGAAGCUUUUACUGUAAGCUGGGAAACCUAAUAAUUUCAGAAGUUACAAAAUGUCUGCUGCUUUCAAAAGGAUACUUUAAAUGUGAACACCAUUUUUUUUCUCAUGCCUACAAGAAAAUGGCUUGAUUGCCUUUGAUCUUGCUUUUAGUUCAUGUAGUUGCUAUUUAGAGUUUUUCAUACUAAACUACUGUUUAAUAAAAAAAAAAGGCCUCUUGGGCAGAACUUGCAGGAAUAAAGUAGUGAAAUUUCCAAAGCAGUAGUUAGGUACCUGCAAAAGACAAAAAUCAAAAGGCUUAGUGAAAUUUAUGUGUUUUUAAAGCAAUUAAUAAAUAUGGCUAUUGCUUGUGGAGGUUUGGAUUUAUUUUAGUAGAAACCUUAAAUAAAUAUCACUUAAAAGCGCAGUAUACAGGGGAAGACAGAUGGUGUAAUUUAUUCAAGGACUGAUCUACUACUGUUUUAGAAGAAACCUAUAGAUUUUUAAUGAAUAAAAUCUUGCAAAAUCACAAUAGGAAAAAAUUUUGCAACAAGGCAAUUGUGGAAGAAGAAGGGGGGAGAUACUUAUUCACAACACCCAUUUGCUUGUAAGUUUUACAUUGUUCUAUGAAAGAUAUAAAAUCCGAUAUUUCAUGAAGAAUGGUGACAUAAUACUGUCAAAAAUUGGUGUCAGCUAAAUAAGUUGUGUUACUGGGGAUUGAGCAAAUACUAUAAUUAUGGAAACAAAUUUAUAGGAUCGUGGGGAAGCAGAAGAGUUUGGGGACCAUUUCCAAAAUGCAGUGGAAUGGUAUUUAUUAUGCCCAAGCAGUGACCUUAAGACCUGCAGAGCAUAAGGCAUGUCAGUGUUCAAGCUGGCUAUUACUUCAAGAAAUGUCAUAUUUUUCAUUACAAACUCAUUAAAAAAAUGCAGAGAUAGGAUUGGCAGCAGGUCUGAAAUGUAGAAUUUGCCAUCCUUCUCCAGUCCUGACUUUGAAAAUGAGUUUUUGUGCAGUCUUUGAUCUAUUAAACAUGUGUUCUUUUUUAUAGUGCCAGCACUUCAACAGGAUUGAUCCUUGUCAGCAGCUGAUGAUUAGUAGUCUUUUGAGAGAGAGUAGCUUGCUUUCUUUGGUUGACAUGUUUCUACUCUGAUAUUCAAGUUACAGAGCGAUUCCUUUCAUCUUCUGUAAACAAAAUAGCAAGUGUUGACACUGACCAUCAACAGAGAUUGCUAUGAGUUCUUUGUUUUCCCACUGAAGUCAUAUUAAUUCUAACAUGGCACACAUAGAUGGAAGGUUUGGGGUGGCAGACAGUUUGGGGUGUAUGUUGUGAAUUUCAAGAGAAAGGGAGAUGUUAGUUUCAGCCCAGCAGCUUUAUCCUUCUUGGGGCUUAAGUUCUGACUAAUUUUACAGGUGAAACUUUAGGUGCCUGUGGCAUCUUUGGCACCAAGAUAGAUGAGGACCUUUUUUGUGAUCUAGGGACGUGUGUACUUUUUGAUUAUUUUUUUUUUUGUCAUAAAUGCCUAAAUACUUUCUUGAAUUUGUCCUUUAUUAAUUGUUAAAAUGUUAAUUCUUUAAGAGACAGUAGCAACACACAGCCUCUUAGGCAGUUCUGGGUAGGAAGAUGAGGAUUAAAAUAAAUGGCAUGAUCAGCUGUCUCUUGCAACAGCCCCCUUUCAGUUAACACCUCUUCUGGAUGGCUCAUUUUUACAGCUGGUGUGGAAAGGCUGUAAGUAAGAGAAGAGGCUUUUUGGACUGCAUUUGAUUCUAAUGUUCUUCUCACCUCCAUUUUUUUAGCUUUGGAUCUACACAGUAUGCAGAAUAAGAAGAUAAGCAAAAAGAAGUUUUCACUUGCCUUUGUAGUAUUAUUUUGAGUCCUUCAGCAAGAAAACCUCAGGGAUUUUUUAAUUUCUGGUUUCAGAAUGAAAUUGAUAUUUUACAACAUUGUCUCAUUUAGUGGCAUAAUAUAUGGCAAAAUAAAAGCUGCAUCACAGAGAGAACCAAAUAUUCUUGGCUCCAAAGUCAGUAUAUUUCGGAGCCUAACACAUCCUGUGAUGUUUGCCCAUUCCAUGGCCUAUAUGGAAUUAGCCUACCAUGUUAGGUAACUUCAUUCAAACAUUACUGAUUUAACUUAAUCUUUCUCACCUGACUGUGCUUUGCAUUAUGGGCAGGAAACUGGAGUGCCACUGAUCCACCUCACCCGGGUUUUAACCUCAUUCACUCAGCCAGUUGCAAGUCUUCCUCAUAAUGUAUUUUUAUGUCUCUUGUAAAAGCACCAAGCAGAGACUUGUCAUGCCUCAGCUUGAAGAAAAAGAUGCUUUUCUAGCUCUGUCAUGGUGAUAUCAUUUAGCUGAUACCAAUUUUAGUGGAUGGAAAAAGCCUUUCUGUUAUGAACACCAGCCAUGGGAGUCAACAUAUAAUGACAUAAGAUUGCAGAAUAAACUUUUAACUCUCAUUCCUA